GUGGUUCAAGAAGAGCGGUGAGGUCACCAGGCCCGGGCUCCCCGGGGCCGCGCCGGCUGCCCCCAGCACCAGGUUCCCGCUGCCAUCAAGGCUGAACCAGACGCGGAUCACUUCCUUCUCCAUGUGCAGCUGCUCGGCGAUCAGCAGGAUCUCCUCUGAGGAUGAUGGAACCAGCACAACUGCUCUGCCUAACCAAUGGGGAGAAUCCAGUUAAAACUGAAAAGUGUACACCUGAAUGCAAGCUCAACUUUAGAGAACAGUAAUGGGUCAGUGAGCUGGAACGCACGUGCCACCCCGGUGGGGGAUGUUGGUCCUUUAGCCGGCAGCGCAUGCGCACAGCAGCGAGUACA